rnacentral:rRNA from 1 species
CGAACGCUGGCGGCAGGCCUAAUACAUGCAAGUCGAACGGCUCUUCGGAGCAGUGGCGGACGGGUGAGUAACGCGUGGGAAUGUGCCCUUAGGUACGGAACAACACAGGGAAACUUGGGCUAAUACCGUAUGUGCCCUUCGGGGGAAAGAUUUAUCGCCUUUGGAGCAGCCCGCGUUGGAUUAGGUAGUUGGUGAGGUAAAGGCUCACCAAGCCGACGAUCCAUAGCUGGUCUGAGAGGAUGACCAGCCACACUGGGACUGAGACACGGCCCAGACUCCUACGGGAGGCAGCAGUAGGGAAUCUUGCGCAAUGGGCGAAAGCCUGACGCAGCCAUGCCGCGUGUAUGACGAGGGUCUUAGGAUUGUAAAAUACUUUCACCGGGGAAGAUAAUGACGGUACCCGGAGAAGAAGCCCCGGCUAACUUCGUGCCAGCCGCCGCCGUAA